CCUACGGGAGGCAGCAGUGAGGAAUAUUGGUCAAUGGACGAGAGUCUGAACCAGCCAAGUAGCGUGAAGGAUGACUGCCCUAUGGGUGGUAAACUUCUUUUAUAAAGGAAUAAAACGAGGCACGUGUGCCUUUUUGCAUGUACUUUAUGAAUAAAGAUCGGCUAAGUCAGUGCCAGCAGCCGCGGUAAUACGGAGGAGACGAGCGUUAGGCGGAUUUGUUGGGUUUAAAGGGAGCGUAGAUGGGGUGUUAAGUCAGUUGUGAAAGUUUGCGGCUCAACCGUAAAAUUGCAAUUGAUACUGGCAGUCUUGAGUACCGUUGAGGUGGGCAGAAUUCGUGGUGUAGCGGUGAAUUGCUUAGAUAUCACGAAGAACCCCGAUUGCGAAGGCGGCUUACUAAACUGAGACUGACAUUGAUGUUCGAAAGUGUGGGUAUCAAACAGGAUUAGAUACCCCUGUAGUC
rnacentral:rRNA from 1 species